GUAGGUGAACCUGCGGAAGGAUCAUUAACACGUAUUUUACGUUCUCACCCGUGAACUAUGUUAGCCAGGAAAGCUAGUUUUUUGGCCUUUACCGGCUUUGAAAAACUUGGAUUUGUACACUCCGGUUUUUUUCUGCGAGUUUCCCUCGGGUGUACUUGUCACUUGAUCCGGUUCCCGUAACUGGAUUGGUUUUUUCCUGCACUGUUACUAUCGGGAGUAGAUUUUGAACUCCGUGGAUAAAGUUGUGUUU
rnacentral:misc_RNA from 1 species